rnacentral:rRNA from 1 species
CCUACGGGAGGCAGCAGUGAGGAAUAUUGGUCAAUGGUCGGGAGACUGAACCAGCCAAGCCGCGUGAAGGAUGAAGGUACAGAGUAUCGUAAACCUCUUUUGUCAGGGAACAAAGGCGGGGACGUGUCCCCGGAUGAGUGUACCUGAAGAAAAAGCAUCGGCUAACUCCGUGCCAGCAGCCGCGGUAAUACGGAGGAUGCGAGCGUUAUCCGGAUUUAUUGGGUUUAAAGGGUGCGCAGGCGGUCUGUUAAGUCAGCGGUCAAAGCCCGGGGCUCAACCCCGGCCCGCCGUUGAAACGGGCAGUCGCGAGUUGGAGAGAGGUAUGCGGAAUGCGCGGUGUAGCGGUGAAAUGCAUAGAUAUCGCGAAGAACUCCGAUUGCGAAGGCAGCAUGCCGGCUCCACACUGACGCUGAGGCACGAAAGCGUGGGUAUCGAACAGGAUUAGAUACCCCGGUAGUC